UACGAAGGGGGCUAGCGUUGCUCGGAAUUACUGGGCGUAAAGCGCACGUAGGCGGCUUGUUAAGUCAGGGGUGAAAUCCUGGAGCUCAACUCCAGAACUGCCUUUGAUACUGAAGAUCUUGAUUCGGGAGAGGUGAGUGGAACUGCGAGUGUAGAGGUGAAAUUCGUAGAUAUUCGCAAGAACACCAGUGGCGAAGGCGGCUCACUGGCCCGAUACUGACGCUGAGGCACGAAAGCGUGGGGAGCAAACAGGG
rnacentral:rRNA from 1 species